AUUAGUGUUCUGGAAAAUAUGAACAUAAUUCAUUAUUAUUAUUAACCUGUGUAAUUACACCAUCAUAAAUAAGGACUGGCUGAAUUUUCCGUUCUCAUAAAUUUAAUUGUUCUCGUCUCUCUCUCUCUGCGUACAUCACGAAGCUGAGUGCGCUGUAUUUUUAAUAUUACGGCAUGGCAACGGGUUCCAUCCCGAAAUUAAAGAAUAAAACGGCGAAAAACGUUACAGUCAGGAGGCUAAUCGGUGAUCCCCGCUAAGCUGCGUUCAAUUGCACUUAACAGGCCUCCGCUUCGCACCGACGGGAUGCGCCGAGAACCUUUAAGUCGGCGGCUAAUUCUUGUUUUGAGUUCUCGCGCCCGAAACUUGCCGCAAUGCAACUUAAUUCCAGACAAUCUCCCGCCGAGAGGCCAAGUCAGAAUCAAGCGUGAGCCCAGACACGGAGCACGGCGAGUCCUUGGUACCCGUCCCAGUCCCCCUCUCCCCUUUGUGAGCAGGCGAGCCGUCCCACCCCCCGCCUCCGCAAGCGUGAGCCAAGGAGCGAGCGACCAUGCGACCAUGACCAGGACGAAUGGGUUUGCAGUGGAGAGAAGCGACGAGGCGGGGAGCUGAGUCACUGCACCAGCUGACCGCGGUAUGCCAGACACCCCGUGUAGCCCAUCACUCCUGCGGCAUGAGAGACUCUGCGGAAUGGAUGGGACUCCUUCGUAGAUCCAUGACGGGACUCUGUGGACGUAACCCAUCACCCCCAAGGGAUGCGGAGCGGAGAACAGCCCACCCCCCUGGGGAGACACGAGCCUUUGCUCCACUGUGUUUUCUCAGCAAACUGACCCUGGAUCAGGGCGGCUCUGGGGAAACCUAUCGGCAGACAGUGGGCACCGUGGACGGCCGGGGCCUUUCAUCGCUGUAUACAGAGUAAUUACAUCUCCGAGCCGAGUCCGGGGAGUCUUCAAGGAAAGGCUCCCAGACCCUUAUGGGGUCGCGGCCCACGGGGGUGAGAUCAACCCAUUAAAAUAUAAUCAUACAGCACGGUUUAUUUAAAG
rnacentral:lncRNA from 1 species